rnacentral:snRNA from 1 species
CUCUAACAUACUAUUUCUCU